CCACUGCUGAUGUUCCGGGUCAAAGAGGAGCAAAUAUCACAAUGUGUGCUGCAAUCUCAAGUGCUGGUUUGGUCCUGCAGAAAAGCCAGAUCGGUCCCUUCAACACAGAGCGCCUUCUUUUGUUUUUAGAUGACCUCCACCAACAACUGGUACCAGCAGCAGAAAGGGAACAAGUAGGAGGAAACAUGAGGACAUUUGUGAUUGUAUGGGACAAUGUAGCGUUCCACCAUUCACAUGCAAUCACAAAUUGGUUUGCAGCCCAUCUGAGAAUGAUUUCUCUUUUUCUUCCUCCGUACUCUCCUUUCCUCAAUCCUGUUGAGGAAUUUUUUUCUGCCUGGAGGUGGAAAGUCUAUGAUCAUAGACCACAUGAUCAGAUGUCCCUCCUGGAUGCCAUGGAGGCUGGCUGCCGAGAUAUCUCCGCUGAAGACUGCCAAGGCUGGAUAAGGCAUGCUAAACGUUUCUAUCCCAGAUGCAUAGCAAGAGAAAAUAUAAGAUGUGAUGUCGAUGAGAACAUGUGGCCAGUUGCUGAAGAUCGUAUAGAUUAGAACUUUAUUUCUGUUUUUUUGUUUUUUGUCUGUUUUUUUUUUUUUUUUUUUAACUAAAGGCCAAAGGCCUGUAUAUUUUUUUUGGAUCACUGACAGCAAUUUCAUUUUGCUAAUUUACUUCAGCAAUUCUGUCACUUUUCUUUUACAUUUCAUAAAUUACUGAUGAGUCCUCAACUAUGCUGUACACAUACUGCCCUACAGUAAUCCACACAUACACAAACACUGGUUUCCAUUUUUUUGUGGGGACUCUCAAAUAUCUAAUCUUGUUUUCUCAAGAGGACCAAAUAAAGUGUCCCCACAAGGUCAAACCAAAACACAAAGUAAUGCAGAUUUUUGUAAUUAAUUGUUAGCAUUUUGUCAGUCUAUGUGUUAUGAUUGACUAUAUGUUUCUGUUGGAUUGAAAACUAGUGCUAAUGUUUUGAUUGAAUGAUUCAAUUUUGAAUCAGGUUUGCUGUGUUUUGAUAGAGUUAGUAUAUGUAGAAAAAGGUACUCAGCAUUUUGAAAUGGAGAGUUUGUAUUUAUUUAACAAAACAUGGUUUUGGCCAGAAAAUUAUCAAUUUGGCUAAUUGUGUGAUGUUAGUGUGUUGCUGUGUUAAGAGUUUAGAAAAAGUAUUUUAAGUAUUGGUAAAUGCUUGUUAGCAAUUGAAAAAAACUGUAUUGACCACGUGAUAAACCAUGGUCUGUCAUUGAGAGAGGCAGGUGAAAGAGUCCAGCCCAAUCUUAGACGGUCAACUGUGGCAUCCAUUAUCCGAAUUUUUCAACAAACCAACAGAACACAACGACUUCCUUGCUCUGGGGGAAGAAGAAAACUGCUCACUGAGGACCAAGAGCAUGCUAUUGUAGGGUGGGUUAUAGCUGACAAUGCAAUAAAACUUAGAGAAAUUCAAUCCAGAAUUGUACAGGACAACCUGGUAUUCCAGAAUGUGGAAAGCAUCAGCCUGGCUACCAUCACUCGAACUCUGAACAAACACAGAAUUCGAAUGAAACAGCUGUACAAAGUGCCCUUUGAAAGAAACAGUGAGCGGGUCAAGGAACUCCGACACCAAUAUGUCCAGAGAGUUAUGGAGUUGGAGGCUAAUCAGACACCACAUAAAUUCAUUUAUGUAGAUGAGGCAGGAUUUAACCUGGCAAAAACUCGUAGACG